AAUAUCAUUAAAAUGCACUUGAUUUUGGAACCCUGAUUAGAACGAAGGAUCCAAUUUUUCACUUUUGUGAACAGAACAUGUGGUUACAUAUCACUGAAUCUUACUGUUCCUUUUUAUUCCAGGUCGUAUCUGUGUCCCAAUAGACCCUGAACACUGUGAUGAGUUUGAUCCUACUACUGUGCCAACUGUUGCCCAGCUCCUAGAAGAACUUAAUGCAGCAGACAUGGAAGUAGAUAGUGAGACUGACUGGGAUAGAACCUCACUUGGCGAAUCAAUUAGGUUUUUCAGAUCAGCAUUCUUACAGCCAUUACUAAAAUCAUGCAAGG